UGGGGACCUGAGGAGGUAUGGUCAUAUAUAAAGGGAGGAGUCAACAUGCUGGGUUCAGGUAAGCUCCGCCUAAACAGUCAUGCCGCCAAAGCAAAAAAAAAAAAAAAAAAAAAAAAAGGCCAUCAUCCCUUUUUGCCACUUGUCAUUCAAAAGUGGUCUACGCCCAAUUUCGGGUGACAUGACUCCAUCUUUGUGACAAUUUUCUUGAAAAGCGGGAAGUCAUCAAGGACGUGCUUCUUUGUUGUUAGUGAUACAGGUGCAGGCGGAAGGCAUUAGCGUUGUGCUCAGCGAGCAGGAACAGGAAGAAGUGGAAGAAGAAAAGGCAGGAAGCGUGAAAGUCAGCAACACUGCAUGAAUAAGAAGACAAGCUUCAUAAUGUCAUCCAGCCAGGCCAGGUCGUGCUGGGAGAACAUCAUAUCCAGUAGCUUUCGUACCACCAUCAGACCCAGAAUCUGCACACGGGAACCCAUGUACUCACCAUCACGGGGAAGAUGAUAGCCAGGAAGGUGGACUUCAGGACCCAGAGGACAGCCAGGCAGGUGAUCUGAACCAAGGUGAAAAGGUGGACUCGGCGCAGAGGAACGUGACGCAGGAAGGCAAAGUCCGG